rnacentral:tRNA from 1 species
GGCCUCGUAGGUCAGCUGGUAGAGCGUGAGCGUACAUGCGUGGGUUCGAAUCCCACCGAGGCUA